AGAGUUUGAUCAUGGCUCAGGAUGAACGCUAGCGACAGGCUUAACACAUGCAAGUCGAGGGGCAGCACGGUGUAGCGAUACACUGGUGGCGACCGGCGCACGGGUGAGUAACACGUGUGCAACCAACCCCGUACCGGGAGAUAACCCGCGGAAACGUGGACUAACAUCCCAUGACACUCGAGAGCCGCAUGGCUCUAGAUUUAAAAUUCCGGUGGUACGGGACGGGCACGCGCGACAUUAGGUAGUUGGCGGGGUAACGGCCCACCAAGCCGACGAUGUCUAGGGGUUCUGAGAGGAAGGUCCCCCACACUGGAACUGAGACACGGUCCAGACUCCUACGGGAGGCAGCAGUGAGGAAUAUUGGUCAAUGGGCGAGAGCCUGAACCAGCCAAGUCGCGUGAGGGAAGAAUGGUCUAUGGCCUGUAAACCUCUUUUGUCAGGGAAGAAUAAGGAUGACGAGUCAUUCGAUGCCAGUACUUGACGAAUAAGCAUCGGCUAACUCCGUGCCAGCAGCCGCGGUAA
rnacentral:rRNA from 1 species